ensembl:lncRNA
CUAAUGAGCCAAGUCUGAGUAAAGUGAGAAACCACUGAUCUACUGGGAUUUUCCCACACAACCAUCUCUAGGGUUUACAGAGAAUGUUCUGAAAAGAGAAAAUAUCCAGUGAGCGGCGCUUCUCCGUGCCAAAAAGCCUUGCUGAUGCCAGAGGUCAGGGGCGAAUGGCCAGAUUGCUUUGAGCUGACAGGAAAGCAAGAGCAAGUUAAAUAACCACUUGUUCCAACUAAGGUAUUCAGAAAAGCAUCUCAGUAUCCACUACAUGUCAAACCUUGAAGCACCUGGGCUACAGCAGCAGGAAAGUAUACAGGGCACCAUUACUGUUAGGUAAGAACAGGAAGCUAAGGCAUUGCUCGGCCUGACGAGUCUCAAGCUCAUUCAGAUGAUAGGGUCAGAAUUCAGCGUAAACAACACGAAAGCAUGGAUCCAUCCUGCCUGGUAUCAAUGGUUCAGGCUGCUGAUGGUGCUGUAAUGGUUUAGGGAAUAUUUUCUUGGCAUGCUUUGGGCCUCUUAGUGCCAACUGAGCAUCAUUUAAACAAAAAAAUAAAAGAUACAUGCUGAAUCUAUCGAAACGCAGGUCAACAUGAUAGCAUCAUCGUACUAUUGUCUGUUUGUUUUCCCAGUUUUAUUUUCACAUGUUGAGAACCUCUGCUUUGGGGUUACUUUGGUGAAAGUGACCAACUUUUAACCACCAAACGGAGUGAAGCCCAGAUGUACAGAGGGGCAGGCAGACUUAAAAAAAAAAAAAAAUUAUAAGUGAGAACAAAUAACAUAAAAAAAAAAUCUGUGUAGCCAAAGUUUGAUAGAACAGUGAACAGUACUUUAUUCCACUUUGCCAUAGAGCACCAUAACAGUCAAACAUGUACUGGUAAAACAUUACUAAUCCACACAGUAACACAAGCAGGCAUGUUAUCCAGUUUUAACGAAUAUGGCAUGGGUACCGUUUACUGUGCACUGAUCCAGUACGUACACUGUACCACUGCUGUACAUUCACCUGCAAUGGAAAAAGAGUCCUCAUUAAAAUUCACUACAUUUAUCUUCUCUUCAAGUGAUUAUUUUACAUCUUACAUCACUCUCACCCCCCACUGGUUGUGGCAGAUGGCUGUACCUGGUUCUGCUUCAGGUUUGCUCUUGUUAAAAGGGAGUUUGUCCUUCCCACUGUCACCAAGUGCUUUCUUGAUUGGUGGGGUUUUCUUGAAUCUUAAACCCCAGGUCUAUAUUUUUGACCAUUUGUAGAAACGUGUCUUCAUUAGAUAAAAAAUGGGCUCGCUUGAUGAGCCCUAAAACGAAAAAAAAAAUUCUUUAGUGUGAAAUAGUUGCAUCAGACCUGCAUGAUGUUUCCUAGCAUGGAGUUUGCAUGUUCUCCUAACGUCCGCUUGAGGCUGUUUUGUAAGCUCCAAAGCCAAUCACAUGCAUAUUAGAUGCACUGGAAACUCUAUGACUAUCUUUCCUUUCCAAUCUAUUUCUGCUCCUCCC